rnacentral:rRNA from 1 species
AAUCAACGCUGGCGGCGUGCCUAACACAUGCAAGUCGAACGCGAAGGUCCCGCAAGGGAUUGGUAGCGUGGCAAACGGGUGAGUAACACGUGGGUGACCUGCCUUCGAGUGGGGGAUAACGUCCCGAAAGGGACGCUAAUACCGCAUGACAUCCUGCCUUUGAAGAGGCGGAGAUCAAAGCCGGGGAUCGCAAGACCUGGCGCUUGAAGAGGGGCCCGCGCCUGAUUAGCAGUUGGUGGGGUAAUGGCUCACCAAGGCAACGAUCAGUAUCCGGCCUGAGAGGGCGGACGGACACACUGGGACUGAGACACGGCCCAGACUCCUACGGGAGGCAGCAGGUGGGAAUUGUUCGCAAUGGGCGCAAGCCUGACGACGCAACGCCGCGUGGAGGACGAAGACCUUCGGUCGUAAC